AGAGUUUGAUCCUGGCUCAGGACGAACGCUGGCGGCGUGCCUAACACAUGCAAGUCGAGCGAGGGAUUUGCAACUGAUUCCUUCGGGAUGAAGAUGCAAAUAGCCUAGCGGCGGACGGGUGAGUAACGCGUGAGAAACCUGCCUUUCACUAAGGGAUAGCCUCGGGAAACUGGGAUUAAUACCUUAUGACACUUAAAUGUCGCAUGACAUUUAAGUUAAAGCGUAAAGCGGUGGAAGAUGGUCUCGCGUCCCAUUAGCUAGUUGGUGAGGUAAGAGCUCACCAAGGCGACGAUGGGUAGCCGGCCUGAGAGGGUGAACGGCCACACUGGAACUGAGACACGGUCCAGACUCCUACGGGAGGCAGCAGUGGGGAAUAUUGCACAAUGGAGGGAACUCUGAUGCAGCGACGCCGCGUGAGUGAUGAAGGCCUUCGGGUCGUAAAACUCUGUCCUAAGGGACGAUAAUGACGGUACCUUAGGAGGAAGCCCCGGCUAACUACGUGCCAGCAGCCGCGGUAAUACGUAGGGGGCGAGCGUUGUCCGGAAUUAUUGGGCGUAAAGGGUGCGUAGGCGGCCUUUUAAGUCAGAUGUGAAAGGUCACGGCUCAACCGUGGUAAGCAUUUGAAACUGGAAGGCUUGAGUUAAGGAGAGGAAAGUGGAAUUCCUAGUGUGGCGGUGAAAUGCGUAGAUAUUAGGAGGAAUACCAGUGGCGAAGGCGACUUUCUGGCCUUAAACUGACGCUGAGGCACGAAAGCGUGGGGAGCAAACAGGAUUAGAUACCCUGGUAGUCCACGCCGUAAACGAUGAGUGCUAGGUGUUGGGGGUUAACCCUCAGUGCCGCAGCUAACGCAUUAAGCACUCCGCCUGGGGAGUACGUGCGCAAGCAUGAAACUCAAAUGAAUUUGACGG
rnacentral:rRNA from 1 species